rnacentral:lncRNA from 1 species
AAUUGGAAAUUUCAAGCUGACGUACUAUUUUAAUAAAGAUGUCUCUGUUUAUAGUUUAAUAUAGACACAUGAUCAUCUAGGGGUAAGGUAGUUGGCUGUGACACAACGAAAUGGGCGUAAGCAAACUUAAACACACAUGGGGGUCUUGCACAGUCGUACUGCAUUUAUAAGAAUGAUAUGUAUUUUAGUAUAUUACUUUAACAUUAGUUCUUUCAAAAUGGCAAACAAAAUAUAUCAAUUUAAAUUAAUGAAUUAAAAUGAAUAUCCUUUGCAAUGAACUAUGAUGCGCUGAUAUAAAAAUGAUAAGUACCUUUUGUUACUCGCUACUCACUUUUUAUAACUCGAUACUCACUUUUUAUAACUCGCUACUCGCUUUUUAUAACUCGAUACUCGGUUUUUGUUACUCGCUACUCACUUUUUGUUACUCGCUACUCACUUUUUAUAACUCACUACUCACUUUUUUUGCACUCGCUACUCACUUUUUAUAACUCGCUACUCACUUUUUGUUACUCGCUACUCACUUUUUAUAACUCGAUACUCACUUUUAUAACUCGCUAACUCACUUUACUCGCUACUCGCUUUUUGUAACUCGAUACUCACUUUUUAUAGCUCGAUACUCACUUUUUGUUACUCGAUACUUGAUACUCGACAAAAAGAAAUCCUCGUUUUCCUUACGUAAAUCCUCUAUGAUGUCACGAAGUAUGGUCUCCAAAGGACAAUCACUCCUAUAAGGAUUCAAUAUAGAGAGUGAGAGGUUUGGCUAGCUAUAAAAUCACGUUAAAUCCACCAUUUUCUACAUAAGAAAAUGUCGUACCAAGUUAGGAAUAUGACAGUUGUUAUCCAUUCGUUUGAUGUGUUUGAGCUUUUGAUUUUACCAUUUGAAUACGGACUUUACGUUUUAAAUAAUCCUCGGAGUUCGGUACUUUUGUUAUAUUAAUUUACUUUUUAUUUCCGCCAUAUUGAUUGAUAUGUAUAUCUUUAAAAAUACCUUGGCUCACACUGAACAGCAAGCUAUACAGGGCACCAAAAAAUUGUAUAGUGUAAAACCAUUCAAACGGGAAAACCAAGAUGGUGAGUCGUGUAAGUAAGGGUGAUACUGACAAAUGUAACGCAGUGUGUAUGUUGAUACUGCUGAAUAUUGAAAUCAUCAUAAAAGCAUUCAUAAACAAUGACACAAAGAUGUCACUGACAGGGAAAAUCAAAAUAAAGUCAUAGGCACAAAUGACAAGCAUUCUUACUACAACAAUCAAUAAUUAUAAACCUAGAUAAUGGCAGAUCUUGGUUGUUUCUGUUCUAAUUCACAACUUUAUAGACUAAAGACAAUAUUAAGCUUGACAGUGUACCUGGAAAUGGUUGAAUAGGAAAAGGAGAUAUGGAGUAUACGUCAAUGUUACACCCAUAGGGUGACUGUGGAAUAAAAAUACGGUCAACAUUAGUCUUCCUCCGCCAACUGGCAGUAAAACCCUCGCCAAAGUGGGGCGUCGUUUUGGCUGUGUGGGAUGAACAAGCUACACAGCAAAGUGCGGUCAGAAUGGGGACGUCUCUGAGGGGGACGUUGUAUCGGCUGCCUCAUGUAAAGUGCAAUGCAAUUUUAACAUCAAGACCCAUUGCAAAAACUAGUUGAUCGGUACGUAGCCAGGCUUAAGAUCUGUCCCUAUCCAAUAUACCCACCUUUUCCAUUGGUCGUCCAGCUUCCCUAGAACCUUAUCCGGGCGGCUUCUAUAGUAAGACCUGACUAUUGUAUUUAUUGUGUUGUUCUCGUUCUGAACAUGAAUGAAAUAUUUGUCACUGGACGGUAAGUAAACAACAAUCAAUGAUACAGCAAUCCAACGACAAGAAAAACAAAGACAUCCAGAGAGCAAAAGACAACAUAUACGUGACAUUACCACGCUAGUCCACAAAAGCUGUGAAUAAAUUGAUAGAAACAACCAAAGAUCUACCACCAACAUCAAAGGAAAAGAAGUCUGUAGGUUGCUCUAUAUGAACCUUUUAUGGUAUGUUCAUUCGUUGGAUAGCUGUCACAUCCAGUGGCGGAUCCAAAAGGGGGGGGGGGUUCCGGGGUUUGCAUGGAACCCCCCUUUUUUUGGACGAUCAAUGCAUUUGAACCCCCCUUUUAAAAAUGGUUGGAUUUUAAAAUGGCUGGAUCCGCCACUGACAUCAUAUUUACUACAAGUAUAGAUCUACAUAAUAUAUCAGAAGAACUUGACAUAAGAUAACAUGUAUUUCUCCAGAAAACGAUGAUACAUGUACAAAAUUUAAGAGAUGCACUAACUUUGCAAACACACCUGAAGCACAGGGACUCGGUUAGCAGAUUGAAUUUUUUCAGUAUACGGAUAUGGACAGUAAACUGCACAUUGCUAGAAAACAAACAGGAAAUACUAAUUAAAAUAUAAAAAACAUUGAUUAACAAAAUUUUAAUCUGCUAACCGAGUCCCUGUGACCUGAAGCAGCUAGCAAGAAUAGGGACUCAAAAGGAAGAGGAAGGAAUCAUUACUGGAAGGAUGUAACAAUCUCUCUUCAUAAGAAACAAGUUGUAGGAACACAAUAUUAGGUCAUGCAGAGACCACCAUGGAGAGAUAGGUUGCCAAACAUUUCACGGUGACCACUUGACCAGCAAAAUAAAACUGAAGAUUAAUUAUCUGAUUAUGUUCCAUUUACUAGACGGAUAUAGAUAUAAGAAGAUGUGGUAAGAUUGCUAUUGAAAUAUGUUCACCUUGCUAGCAGUAAUAUUGUCAAUUGACCAUAUAUCUUGUAAAUACUUAUAUGUUGGCAUUGCACAUGGUCAUGUUUUUCUGAAGAUCUUUGUCCAUUGGAUGUGUACUGAUUCAUAUUUUAGUCUGAGAAACAUGAAUUAUUUAUUAGUUGUAAAUGGAUUUGAACUAGCUUUUAGCAGCUGUAAGUACUCUUAAAUCGGAUUUUUUUUUGUCCUUUAUGUUUAAUAAGAUAGUUGUCUUUUGAGCUUUGUGUCAAUCUGAUGAGUCGAGCCUUUUUGAAUUGAUGUAAAGUUAAUUUUUGAUGCAUUCACAAAUGUAACUUUAGUCACAUCUGUUAAAUAAUUGAGGAAGUCCAUUGAAUUUGAUUGAAAAUUUACUUUAUCUUUGCUGAGGUCAAAUAAGCUAGCUGACUUUGUUUUCAAAUUUUCUUUUUCUGUACUGAGGUCCAAUAAGAUCUGACUGAUUCAAAAUUUCCUUUUAAUAUCUGUGUGAGAUAUUUCACUUUUAAAUGUUUAUCAUAAAAAUUCGACAUGUUCAUUUAAAAGUUGGAUAUAGUGUGAUAAUAAGUUUAGUUAUGGAAUUAUGAUUGAUAUAUUUUACAGAAUGCUGAGCUUGGAGGUGUCCCACAUUUUGAGCAUGAUGAGAAUCUAUUUUUAGAAAAGAGGGAACAAAUGUUUUACAAUGUUGAAGACCGCAAUAGAGUGGAGUCCAAAUACCCAGUUCGUGAUCGUAGCAAACUCCUCCGCCCAGAUUUUCACCACGAGACUUCAAAAUAUCAGAGCGAAUUAAUGUUUAGACGGGAUGAGGACUAUGUUAUGAAGGCUUGAUCCCCUGUGAUUUACCACUUAAGACAUCAGUAUUAUUGCACCAUGUUUUGUUAUUCUAGUACUGUAAUGUCUUGCCAUUUGUUGAGCAAGACAUUUUUUUAUUGCCAACAGCUGUAUACAGUGUUGUGUUUUUAUCAUUUUUACAUUUUGGCCAUCUUUUUCAACCAAAUUUUGUUACAAACUAUAUUCUCACUAGGGCUUUCAAUAAAUUGGAGAAAGGGAUUUCCUUUAUUUUAAAUUCACACAUACAAGUAUCAUUCACUUCAAAUUAGUGCUUAACAGUAUUAGGUACAGAUAUUUUUUUAUCACAUUUAUUCUUGUACAUUGUUGUUUUUGUAAAAUGUCUAUUUAUACAUAUAUAUAAUUUUUGUUUUGUACCUUUUAUGAUACUUGUUGGAUUUGUGUCUGCAUUUCUAUUUCUUGAUUUUAAAAAAUGUAA